rnacentral:misc_RNA from 1 species
GAUGCUGCUUACAGAGCAGCACUUGAAGCUGAUCAAGCCAGGGAAAGGCAAAGGAAAGAAGAGCAGGAACGUCUAGAGAGGGAAGCAGCUGAAGCAGAGAGGAAGCGCAAGGAGGAAGAAGAAGCUCAACAGAGAGCAGCUCGUGAGGCUGCAGAAAGAGAGGCUGCCUUGGCUAGAAUGCGGGAGGAGAAAGCCCUAUCACUUGGUGUUGAACCUGAAAAAGGACCUGAUGUUACUCAAGUUUUGGUACG